CCCGCGUUCCGUCGCGUCCUGAGCUACGGCGCAGCCCAGGCCCGAAGCGGUCGGGGGAGGUCGGCCAGGGCCGCUUUGGCGUCCACACUGAGGGCGGCUGGAGCCGAAUUCCACGCGCAGAGCGCCUUCCGGGUUCCCGGGGACCGCGAGGGCCAAGGGGAGUGGGCCAGGGUUUCCCCACGAUCACCGCUCAAGUUCUUCGUUCCCCGGAGCCCGACGGCAGAAAACCCCGCCUGUGCCAGGGCUGGGCGCGCACGCCGCGUAACCCUGUAGCCCAGGACCCUGCGCUUCUGUGGGACUGACCACCGUCCCUAGUGCCUGAGCCGGUCUGUUGGUACGCAAACCCUGGCAGUUUUCCUGCUCCCGGCAGGUAUGCAGACGCCAAAUGCCCUUAACUUCCGCUCCUUCAGGCUGUGGCUCUGAAUUUGGAGGAAACAAAGGCAAAACCAAGACCUCUCUUCCCUGACCCUUGUGGUCAGGUGUGUUGGGACGUAGGCUCCUCUGUGUUCAUGUCACGCUCAGGUCCACUGCACCAAGGGCCACCGUGGCCCCCCGCCUUUACACUCCCUCGUCGUGAGAGGCAGUGGGAAGCAGAACGUCUUACAGAGACCACAGUUCUGGUGAGGACUCCCCACAGGGCUCACCCAGUCUGUGCCGGCAGCACGUUUUAAUCCAGUGUCCACUGCAAACGCCUGGCAAGUUUUCUCCGUGGGACGGUCUCUCCAGGGAAGGUUGUGUUCUCAGUGCCACCUGCCUCUACCCCUAGAUGCCAGCGAUGCCUCCCUGCUAUGAACCAGCACCACCCCCAACCCCACCCCGCACAUUUCCUUGUCUUCAUGGAGAACGGCUCAGUAUUUUGGAGAGGGGAGAAGGACAGAGGUGCAGACCUGGGCAUGAGGCAGAGGGAGGCCACACUUACUUGGGGACACUCUGGCCGGUCCUUCCCACAUCGCUAGGAUUGCAGGGGAUGGCCUGAGUGGCAUUCUCAAAAGUGAACUGUUCCCAAGGCUCAGGACCAGAUUCUGAUCCUGUCGUUGCCCCUACGACAAUGUACACUCUCCUGGGGCAACAGCUUCUUUUCCUUUAAAAAAAUAGCUUCUUAACAGAUGUGAUAAAUUCGUUGGAGUAAUAAAAAAAUUUUUUUUAAAUAGCUUUUUUUCUGUUUCAAAAGUAAUAUGCUUGUAGUAACUUUUAAAAAUAUAAUAGGAGUUCCUGCUGUGGCCCACUGGGUUAAGAAUCCGACUGAAGCAACUGGGAUUGCUGCAGAGGUGUGGGUUCAAGCCCCAGCCCCGCCCAGUGGGUUGGCAUAGGUCCCACCUGUUGUUCAAAUUCACUUCCUGGCUCAGGAACUUCCAUAUGUGCAGGUGUGACCAUAAAAUUUUAAAACAUUAAUUUAAAACAUUUAAUUUUAAAACAUUAAAUUAAAAAAAAUAUAUAUAUAUACACACAAAAAGGAAAAACCACCAUCCUGGGAUGCCAGUAGUUAAUAUUUGGUCUUUGUCAUAUAUACGCACGUGUGUGUGUGUAAUAUCAAUAUAUAAUUUUUUUACAGAAAAUAAUCAAGCCAUCAGAUAUAUUUUGUAACAUUUUCCCCCAUCUAGCAUCAUUUCAUGGCUCGCUCUCUCCCCGCUGUUCUCCCUUAGCCCCAAGACUCCAUGAGUGUCUGUGCCAUGAUGUACCUGCCCACCCAGUGUGGCUGGACAUGGCUUUAUUUGGACAUCCCCCAAUAUUGAUGGAGCAUCUGCGUCGUGUACUGCCCUAGAUCCCGAGGCUCAGAGAGCAUCACAGGCCUGCCUUCAUGGCAUUCACAGGGGCUGGGGGAAGUGUACAUGUGUACAAAUAAGAAUAUUUCAGACAAGAAGAUGAGGGAAAUAUGAUGAUGUGAUGGGUGCAUGGCAAGGAGGGCCUCUGGGAUGUGGAUGAGAAGGAUGGUGGUCUUUGGAGGCUGGAGUCAGGCUUGGUCCUGGGACAGGGAGCAGUGGAUGGAGAGAGUCCAUGAGGGGGGUGGAAAGCCAGCACUGCAGGGUAAGGGCUCUAGGCCUGCUGGUGGGCCUUUAGAGGGGGUGUGACCAGUCUCCAGGUGGUCACAACCUGGGAGACAUGCACACCCUACAUGCAUUUCACCAGAAGGCACACUUAAGGGUGGGCAGUGACAGUAUCUUGGUCCUUAGUGCUGAUCAAACCCUGACUUUCUGCUAGAAUGCUGGAGAAAAUGGGUUUCUGGUUUUCAUCUGCAUCGCUCUGAUUACCAGUGAGGGUUGAUAUAGCCCUUCUUACGUUUACAGUGCCCUCAGUUUAGUAUUUUCCAAUUGAAAGAGAAUGUCCAAUGUCCUGGCUUUGUCAUGAUUCCAAAAUCCCAGGCCAAGGCAAGAAAUUAAGAAAUAAUUCACCUCAUCCAUAUGAUCGAUCACCUGCAAGGACAAAGGGAGUUUCAGACACCUCCCUCCUAGCCCUCCCUCUCCUCCUCUGCCUCAGAGGGAGCCUCUUAGAGCAAUGGGCACCAGCUCUUUCCUGAUGUAGGUGUCCUCAAGAACAGCUCUUUGGAGUUCCUGUUGUGGCGCAGCAGAAACGAAUCCAACUAGGAACCAUGAUGUUGAAGGUCUGAUCCCUGGCCUCGCUCAGUGAGUUAAGGAUCCGGCGUUUCUGUAAUCUGUGGUAUAGGUUGCAGACGCGGCUCGAAUCUGGUGUUGCUGUGGCUGUGACUGUGGCUGUGGCGCAGGCCAGCAGCAACAGCUCCGAUUCAACGCCUAGCCUGGGAACUUCCAUACGCCACAGGUGUGGCCCUAAAAGGACAAAAAGGCAAUAACAAAAAAAGAAUAACUGUCUCUUCUGGGAACCUUAUUCUACCCUCAGAUUUCCUGAGAGUAACUAAUUCAUUGCUCCCCUUUUACUCCUUAAUCUCAACUUGGUAGAGUGAACCCUGGGGAGGCCACUUUGCUGGGAGCUGUACCUUUGUCCUGCCCAUGCGGGCCUAGGCUGUUGAAUGCUUGUCCCCUACUCCUUUCCCUGUUAGCUCCCCAGCACAGCCUGGGUCACAGGUGCUCUGAGGACCUGCAGACAGGGCCAGAGCAGCUCUGCAUUAGACGUUUCACCCUGUGUUGUAGGCUGGACUGUGUCCCCCAAAUUCAUAUGUUGGAGCCCUGACUCCAGUCCCUCAGAAUGGGACCUUAUUUGGAAAUAUGGUUACUACAGAUGUAAAUAGGUUAGGACGAGGUCAUGCUGGAGCAGGAUGGAUCCUAACCCAACAAAUCUGGUGUCCCUAAAAAAGGGGGAACAUUUGGACACAGAGACAGACACUCACAAAGGGACAAAAUAGCCAUGUAUGGACUGGUGCUACCACAAGCCAAGGAACUACCAGAAGCUGUAGAGCUGCCUGGACUAGACCCUUCCAAGGGCGUUCAGAGGUAGCAUAUCCCUGCUGGCACCUUGAUCUUGACUUCUGGCCUCUAGAACCCUGAGAUAACACAGUCAACCAGUGGUACCUUGGCAUGGCAGCCCCAGGAAGCUAAUACACCCUGCCUGCCUCUGUCCUGGUAAGUGAAGACUGCGUUCUGCCCAGGGUCUCUGAAACCCUAGGGGAUGAGGGGGGCACUGCUAUCCCAGACCCUUAGCUGGGUGUGACUUAGCUUUGGCUGCAUGUGUUUCUUUUUUCUUGACACCCAUGAGAGUGACCAGAAGUGGCCCAGGCAGACCUGAAUGCCAACAGUUCCACCUGGAAUGAACCUGCCUCGUAAUAAAGAACUAUGGCCCUGCCUCUAUGACAGGUGGAGGCUGAUUUCAGGCUGAGGGUCUCGUCCUCCCCUGGUAUUAACCCAGUGACCAUACUUCUACACAAGUGCUCCCAAACCCCUGCAUCUGGAGAGAAAUAUCUUGGGUCUUCCCUGCUUAGAGUGAUCCUGGAUUUCCAUCAGUCCUUCUGUCCACCAAGGGUCUAUUGGGGUGUACUUGCUGCUGAGGAGACAGCCAUAAGCAGAACAGAGACCUCUCUGUACUGUGUCACUCGGCCUCAGUAGACAGUCAAGUGAAAAAUGCACAUGAGAAAAAGAAUAAAUCCGUGUGAAAAUGCAACAGUGAUGGUAAUACACUUUAUGAAGGGAAAUGCGGGGGAAAGGAGGAACUUACUUUGGUGGAGGAAUGUGUGGGUGUCCUCUGAGGAAUAACAUGAGGCUAUGGUGGGAAUGACCUUAGCAGAGCUUGAACUACUUCAGGGUGGAUGCCCUGGUUGGCCUUAGCCUGCUGUGCCUGGCAGGCCCCGGCACCCAUGACAAACCUAGCCAGAUCUCGUCACACCACAUCCACUUUUGGGCUUUGUGCAUGUCCAUCCCUCCAUACCUGACCAACCCCAGUGUGGGCCAUAGGAGUGUCACCCUCAUCCCACUUGGACCAGAAUAGCCAUGUUUGUCCCUGUUCUAGUGCUUUAUUAACACACCCUUUUGGAUUAUAAAUUAUAUGGACACCCAGCUGAGAGGCUUUUUAUCAACAAACUGCUUCCAAACAUCACAGGGCCAUCACAGAGAUGGACAAGAAGAGCUCACUUUCAUACCUACCAGAAAAACCCGGAGAGUUCUAAAGUUCUCAUGGCUCACAGGUCUGGAUCCGAUCAGCUUGGUCCAGGUACCCCAUGAAGGGCCUACUCUUAGAACUCUGCCUUACCAGAUCUGUUACAAAAACAUAAAUCCAACCUUGAAUUAGUAUCUCCUUUCUGACAUCUCCCCCCACCCCCAAGAUAGCUAUUAGUUGUUUGUCUCCUGCUCUGGCAUAUGAGCUCCUUGAAGGUAGAAACGGUGUCUGCCCUGUUCACUGCCGUAAUAUCUGCACUAGUGUGCCAACACACUGGAUAACCUAGAUUAAGGGAACACAUUUUUAGAAACACACAACCUACUAAAACUGAAUCAUCAAGAAACAGAACGUCUCAACAGCUGUAUCAUCACUAUCAAGGAGAUUGAAUCAAUAACCAAAAUGCUUCCAACAAAGAAAAGCCCAAGACCAGACCAGACAGCUUCACUGAAUUCCACCACACUUUUUUUUUUUUUUUGUCUUUUUAGGGUCAUACCCACGGCAUAUGGAAAUUACAAGGCUAGGGGUCGAAUCAGAGCCAUAGCUGCUGGCCUAUACCACAGCUCACAGCAACACCAGAUCCUUAACCCACUGAGUGAGGCCAGGGAUCGAACCUGUGUCCUCAUGGAUACUAGUCAGAUUCGUUUCCACUGAGCCACGACGGGAACCCCAUCAUACUUUUAAAGAAAAAUUACCACCAAUCUUUCUUAAACUCCUCCCAGAAACUGACAAGGAGAGAACACUUCUAAUCCUUUCUAUGAAGCCAGCAUUAUCUUGAUACAAAAGCCAGACAGAGACUUUGCAAAGAAGAAAACUACAAGGAAUUCCUUUGUGGUGCAGCAGGUUAAAGAACUGGUGUUAUCACUGCAGCAGCUCAAGUCCCUGCUGCUGUACAGGCUUGAUCCUUGGCCCAGAAACUUCCACAUACCUCGGAAGAAAAAGAAAUAAAAAGCAUUCAAAUUAGGAAGAAGUAAUAUUAUCUCUGUUCAUAGAUAAAAUGAUCGUAUGUCAGAUAAAAUCAUCAAGAUUUAGGAACUCUAGGAGUUCCCGUCGUGACGCAGUGGUUAACGAAUCCGACUAGGAACCAUGAGGUUGCGGGUUCGAUCCCUGCCCUUGCUCAGCGGGUUAACGAUCCGGUGUUGCCGUGAACUGUGGUGUAGGUUGCAGAUGCGGCUCGGAUCCUGCGUUGCUGUGGCUCUGGCGUAGGCCGGUGGCUCCAGUUCCGAUUCGACCCCUAGCCUGGGAACCUCCAUAUGCCGUGGGAGCGGCCCAAGAAAUAGCAAAAAAAAAGACGAAAAAAAAAAAAAAAAAGAUUUAGGAACUCUAAAGAUUCCCCCAAAUAACUAUUGGAACUAAAAAACAAUUUCAGCAAACUUGUGGGAUACUAAAUCAACACAAUAAUCAGUUUUGUUUUGAGUUGCCGUUGUGUCUCAGCAGAAACGAAUCUGACUAGUAUCCAUGAGGAUGUAGGUUCGGUUCCUGGCCUCACUCAGUGGGUUAAGGAUCUAGCGUUUCCAUGAGCUGUGGUGCAGUUUGAAGACGUCUCAGAUCUGGCGUUGCUGUGGCUGUGGCAUAGGCCAGCAGAACCUCCAUAUGCCAUGGGUAUGGUCCU
rnacentral:lncRNA from 1 species